UACGGGGGGGGCAAGCGUUGUUCGGAAUUACUGGGCGUAAAGGGCUUGUAGGUGGCCAACUAAGUCAGACGUGAAAUCCCUCGGCUUAACCGGGGAACUGCGUCUGAUACUGGAUGGCUUGAGUGUGGGAGAGGGAUGCGGAAUUCCAGGUGUAGCGGUGAAAUGCGUAGAUAUCUGGAGGAACACCGGAGGCGAAGGCGGCAUCCUGGACCAUUACUGACACUGAAAAGCGAAAGCCAGGGGAGCAAACGGG
rnacentral:rRNA from 1 species